rnacentral:rRNA from 1 species
UAAGGAAUAUUGGGCAAUGGACGCAAGUCUGACCCAGCCAUGCCGCGUGGAGGAUGAAGGUCCUCUGGAUUGUAAACUUCUUUUCUCUGGGGCGAAAAACAGGUAUUCUUACUUGCUUGACAGUACCAGAGGAAUAAGCACCGGCUAACUCCGUGCCAGCAGCCGCGGUAAUACGGAGGGUGCAAGCGUUAUCCGGAUUCACUGGGUUUAAAGGGUGCGUAGGUGGGCAGGUAAGUCAGCGGUGAAAUCCCCGAGCUUAACUUGGGAACUGCCAUUGAUACUAUCUGUCUUGAAUACCUUGGAGGUGAGCGGAAUAUGUCAUGUAGCGGUGAAAUGCUUAGAUAUGACAUAGAACACCAAUUGCGAAGGCAGCUCACUACACGGUCAUUGACACUGAGGCACGAAAGCGUGGGGAUCAAACAG